rnacentral:lncRNA from 1 species
GUGGGGACAUGAGACUUAAGAAUAAGUUUUCCAGCUAUUAGAAGGCAUGGAGAGAUGAAACUGGAAAACCUUCACCACUUUACAGGGGCUGUUCAUCUAUGUGCCGGUCUACACCACAGAAAACAAUAUUAUACCGUGAGGACGAGCUCGGGAAAAAGUACAGGAGUCAACCCUAUCCGAGCUCGGGAAUACCUCUUGCUUAUUUGACGAUCGCGCUUUCGAUAACACCUGAGCUCGGUUAAUACACAGAGCUUGGUGGAAACCUGACGUUGACACGAGGCAAUGAUGCGUGUACGACACGGGAAGAUGCUUAGCCCUAAUCCGGGUGAGGAAACCCAUGAAAGCCGGAAGGAUAAUCCACUCCUCUGCGAGGAUGAGGAGUGGGUCAGUUACCCGGAUGUCAGGGGACCAGACGGCGUGUGGGAACACGCGCCAAGUUAUACUACAUAAGCCGAGGCCACUGUAGAGGUAAGGGGGGCUUCAAUGGCUGCUUCUCCUUCUCUUUCUUCUGGUUCUUCUUGGGGGAGGGAGAAAGACUGAUCGUUAAGGAAUUGAGCUGUCAGGUCAACUAACUUGACCGUCGGAGAGCCAUUUCCCGGAAACAGCUCCGGCGGCCGUACUUACCAUUGUCGUAUUGCAGAUACAGGAGGUGGGCGACUAUCUUGGAACAGUCUCAAAAGCCAAAGGGUUGGAUAGAUUCGCUGGUAUCCCCUUCCGAUUUCCACAUCACAAACUCACACCCACAAU